CGGGUACGGUGUGGGUCUUUCAAAAUAAUAGCACAAACAGCUAUGCCCCGCACUCUGGGA
rnacentral:misc_RNA from 1 species